GACGAACGCUGGCGGCGUGCUUAACACAUGCAAGUCGAACGGAAAGGCCCUGCUUUUGUGGGGUACUCGAGUGGCGAACGGGUGAGUAACACGUGAGUAACCUGCCCUUGACAUUGGGAUAACUUCAGGAAACUGGGGCUAAUACCGGAUAGGAGCUCCUGCUGCAUGGUGGGGGUUGGAAAGUUUCGGCGGUUGGGGAUGGACUCGCGGCUUAUCAGCUUGUUGGUGGGGUAGUGGCUUACCAAGGCUUUGACGGGUAGCCGGCCUGAGAGGGUGACCGGCCACAUUGGGACUGAGAUACGGCCCAGACUCCUACGGGAGGCAGCAGUGGGGAAUAUUGCACAAUGGGCGGAAGCCUGAUGCAGCAACGCCGCGUGCGGGAUGACGGCCUUCGGGUUGUAAACCGCUUUCGCCUGUGACGAAGCGUGAGUGACGGUAAUGGGUAAAGAAGCACCGGCUAACUACGUG
rnacentral:rRNA from 1 species